ACUGGGAUGCCUUAGUAACGGCGAAGUGAAGCGGCAAUAGCUCAAAUUUGAAAGCUGGCGCCUUCGGCGCUCGCGUUGUAAUUUGUAGAGGAUGCUUCGGCGAGGACUCCUGCCUAAGUUCCCUGGAAUGGGACGUCACAGAGGGUGAGAAUCCCGUAUGUGGCGGGCGGUCCAAGCCAUGUGAAGCUCCUUCGACGAGUCGAGUUGUUUGGGAAUGCAGCUCUAAAUGGGAGGUAAAUUUCUUCUAAAGCUAAAUACCGGCCAGAGACCGAUAGCGCACAAGUAGAGUGAUCGAAAGAUGAAAAGCACUUUGGAAAGAGAGUUAAAAAGUACGUGAAAUUGUUGAAAGGGAAGCGCUUGCAACCAGACUCGCCCGUAGUUGCUCAGCCUGCCUCUUGGCGGGUGUACUCUUCUGCGAUCGGGCCAGCAUUAGUUUGGGCGGCCGGAUAAAGGUGUCGGGAAUGUAGCACCCUUCGGGGUGUGUUAUAGCCCGGCGCGGAAUGCGGCCAGCCUAGACUGAGGAUCUCGCUUCGGCAAGGAUGCUGGCGUAAUGGUUGUAAGCGGCCCGUCUUGAAACACGGACCAAGGAGUCUAACAUCUAUGCGAGUGUUUGGGUGUCAAACCCAUGCGCGUAAUGAAAGUGAACGGAGGUGGGAACCCGCAAGGGUGCACCAUCGACCGAUCCUGAUGUCUUCGGAUGGAUUUGAGUAAGAGCAUAGCUGUUGGGACCCGAAAGAUGGUGAACUAUGCCUGAAUAGGGUGAAGCCAGAGGAAACUCUGGUGGAGGCUCGCAGCGGUUCUGACGUGCAAAUCGAUCGUCAAAUUUGGGUAUAGGG
rnacentral:rRNA from 1 species